rfam:Myotis lucifugus cont2.41017, whole genome shotgun sequence.
GAGACACCCUUCUGGGCAAGACUUGCUUCAGUGGGGCUUUGGUGCUCACUGAGUCUGCCCCCUGAGUGUGUCCCU